CUGCCUUAAAAUUAUUAGUAAGGAAAACAAUGAUGCCUGAGUCCUCACUGCUAAUGUGAGAUAAGUUUUUGAACAGACAAAUGCUUCCCCAAAAUCAACCUGCCUAUCCUGCAAAAUGCCAGGGUAUAGCAAUCUG